UACGUAGGGGCCUAGCGUUGUCCGGAAUCAUUGGGCGUAAAGAGCUCGUAGGCGGUUUGUCGCGUCUGUCGUGAAAGUCCGGGGCUUAACCCCGGAUCUGCGGUGGGUACGGGCAGACUAGAGUGCAGUAGGGGAGACUGGAAUUCCUGGUGUAGCGGUGGAAUGCGCAGAUAUCAGGAGGAACACCGAUGGCGAAGGCAGGUCUCUGGGCUGUAACUGACGCUGAGGAGCGAAAGCAUGGGGAGCGAACAGG
rnacentral:rRNA from 1 species